rnacentral:rRNA from 1 species
GAGGCCGAAAGGCGUAGUCGAUGGGAAACAGGUUAAUAUUCCUGUACUUGGUGUUACUGCGAAGGGGGGACGGAGAAGGCUAUGUCAGCCGGGCGACGGUUGUCCCGGUUUAAGCAUGUAGGCGGAGGUUCCAGGUAAAUCCGGUACCUUUUAACGCUGAGGUGUGAUGACGAGGCACUACGGUGCUGAAGUGAUAAAUGCCCUGCUUCCAGGAAAAGCCUCUAAGCAUCAGGUAACACGAAAUCGUACCCCAAACCGACACAGGUGGUCAGGUAGAGAAUACCAAGGCGCUUGAGAGAACUCGGGUGAAGGAACUAGGCAAAAUGGUGCCGUAACUUCGGGAGAAGGCACGCUGAUGUGUAGGUGAAGCCCCUGCGGGCGGAGCUGAAAUCAGUCGAAGAUACCAGCUGGCUGCAACUGUUUAUUAAAAACACAGCACUGUGCAAACACGAAAGUGGACGUAUACGGUGUGACGCCUGCCCGGUGCCGGAAGGUUAAUUGAUGGGGUUAGCUGUAAGGCGAAGCUCUUGAUCGAAGCCCCGGUAAACGGCGGCCGUAACUAUAACGGUCCUAAGGUAGCGAAAUUCCUUGUCGGGUAAGUUCCGACCUGCACGAAUGGCGUAAUGAUGGCCAGGCUGUCUCCACCCGAGACUCAGUGAAAUUGAACUCGCUGUGAAGAUGCAGUGUACCCGCGGCAAGACGGAAAGACCCCGUGAACCUUUACUAUAGCUUGACACUGAACACUGGUCCUUGAUGUGUAGGAUAGGUGGGAGGCUUUGAAGCGUGGACGCCAGUCUGCGUGGAGCCAACCUUGAAAUACCACCCUUUAAUGGCUGGUGUUCUAACGUAGACCCGUAAUCCGGGUUGCGGACAGUGUCUGGUGGGUAGUUUGACUGGGGCGGUCUCCUCCCAAAGAGUAACGGAGGAGCACGAAGGUUGGCUAAUCCUGGUCGGACAUCAGGAGGUUAGUGCAAUGGCAUAAGCCAGCUUGACUGCGAGCGUGACGGCGCGAGCAGGUGCGAAAGCAGGUCAUAGUGAUCCGGUGGUUCUGAAUGGAAGGGCCAUCGCUCAACGGAUAAAAGGUACUCCGGGGAUAACAGGCUGAUACCGCCCAAGAGUUCAUAUCGACGGCGGUGUUUGGCACCUCGAUGUCGGCUCAUCACAUCCUGGGGCUGAAGUAGGUCCCAAGGGUAUGGCUGUUCGCCAUUUAAAGUGGUACGCGAGCUGGGUUUAGAACGUCGUGAGACAGUUCGGUCCCUAUCUGCCGUGGGCGCUGGAGAAUUGAGGGGGGCUGCUCCUAGUACGAGAGGACCGGAGUGGACGCAUCACUGGUGUUCGGGUUGUCAUGCCAAUGGCACUGCCCGGUAGCUAAAUGCGGAAGAGAUAAGUGCUGAAAGCAUCUAAGCACGAAACUUGCCCCGAGAUGAGUUCUCCCUGAGACUUUAAGUCUCCUGAAGGAACGUUGAAGACGACGACGUUGAUAGGUCGGGUGUGUAAGCGCAGCGAUGCGUUGAGCUAACCGAUACUAAUGAACCGUGAGGCUUAACC